CAGUCGCCGCGGGAAUACGAAGGGUGCAAGCGUUAAUCGGAAUUACUGGGCGUAAAGCGUGCGUAGGCGGUUUGUUAAGUCUGUUGUGAAAUCCCCGGGCUCAACCUGGGAAUGGCAAUGAUACUGGCAAGCUAGAGUGUGUCAGAGGAUGGUGGAAUUCCCGGUGUAGCGGUGAAAUGCGUAGAGAUCGGGAGGAACAUCAGUGGCGAAAGCGAGGUCCUGGACGUUUUCUGACGCUGAGACGCGAAAGCUAGGGGAGCGAACUGGAUUAGAUACCCCUGUAGUCCCUGUCUCUUAUACA
rnacentral:rRNA from 1 species